rnacentral:rRNA from 1 species
UACCGCGUGUGUGAAGAAGGCCUUCGGGUUGUAAAGCACUUUAAGCAGGGAGAAAAAGUUAUAAGUUAAUACCUUAUAACCCUGAUGUUACCUGCAGAAUAAGCACCGGCUAAUUCCGUGCCAGCAGCCGCGGUAAUACGGAAGGUGCAAGCGUUAAUCGGAAUUACUGGGCGUAAAGCGCGCGUAGGUGGUUUGUUAAGUUGGAUGUGAAAGCCCUGGGCUCAACCUAGGAACUGCAUCCAAAACUAACUCACUAGAGUACGAUAGAGGGAGGUAGAAUUCAUAGUGUAGCGGUGGAAUGCGUAGAUAUUAUGAAGAAUACCAGUGGCGAAGGCGGCCUCCUGGAUCUGUACUGACACUGAGGUGCGAAAGCGUGGGUAGCGAACAGGAUUAGAUACCCUGGUAGUCCACGCCGUAAACGAUGACAACUAGCUGUUGGGAGACUAUGUCUUUCAGUGGCGCAGCUAACGCUUUAAGUUGUCCGCCUGGGGAGUACGGCCGCAAGGCUAAAACUCAAAUGAAUUGACGGGGACCCGCACAAGCGGUGGAGCAUGUGGUUUAAUUCGAUGCAACGCGAAAAACCUUACCUACUCUUGACAUACUUGGGAGCUCUUGUAAUGAGAGUGUGCCUUAUGGAACCAAGAUACAGGUGCUGCAUGGCUGUCGUCAGCUCGUGUCGUGAGAUGUUCC